GUUUUGUUUGAUCAACCUAGGAAAUUCCUCUGGUGGUUAUGCAUGACAAGAAAGCCAUACGUACAGUUACAGAACUCACCUAAAGGGCUCAACCAGCACUUAGGUUCAGCUUACCCACACGACUGACACGACUAGGGUAUCAAAGAUUAAUUAAAGCCUAUGGAUGACGCUAUCUGCAUAUUUUGAUGGGAAAGCAUCUCAUUAAAUUUGAGAGAUCGCAAUGUCAGGAUCAGAUGUGGUUUAAUUGAAGACCCCGUUUUGUAUUUGGCAUGCCUUGGUUAAAAAAUAGAUAAUCCAUUAAUUCAUCAGUAUUAAUUCGUCAUCAAAAUUUGCUGGGAUUUGGUAGUUGUAGACUUGUCGCAUAGAGAUACAAGAAAAAAAAAAUGAUAUAAUGAAAAUUACUGACAAGUAAUUAGAAAUUUGAUCAGGAUAAUUUGAAAUAUAUUGUAUAUUCCCAUAAUUUUUCUGGAGGACAAGAAAAUUUUACAUAGGGUUCAAAAUUUGGUGUUAAGAACUUCAGACAGUAGUUGUCUUGGAGAGUUCAUGCAAUGUAAUUUGCCUGCUUCAUGAGAUGUGAUUUGAUUCUUCUUUUUCUUAUCAGCUCAGAAUCAGCUUGGAAUACAGCAGAUUUCAUUUCCCCUCGGCGCAAGAGGCGAAUUGAUUCAGUACAUGAUGAGAUAGCCUCUUCAAUCUUGACUGAUCAGCUGCGAGUUUCCAAAUGAGGAUGUUUUGGAUCCAACUUCAGUAGUGU